rnacentral:piRNA from 1 species
UAAACUAUUAGCUGUGAGUUCUGCAG